rnacentral:pre_miRNA from 1 species
UUAAUACUCCAUCCAUCCUAAAAUUCUUGUCUUAAAUUUAUUUAGAUAUGAAUGUAUCUAGUUAACUUUUAGUAUUUAGAUACGUUCAUUUCUAGACAGAGUUAAGACAGGAAUUUUGAGAUGAAGGGAGUAAAUG